UUGAGCGGAGAUAUAUGGAGCUUGCUUUAUAUAACUUAGCAGCGAACGGGUGAGUAACACGUAGAUAAUCUAUCCUAUACUGGGGGAUAGCCCGAUGAAAGUUGGAUUAAUACCGCAUAUAGCUAUAUAGUUGCAUGAUUAUGUAGUGAAAGAUUUAUUGGUAUAGGAGGAGUCUGCGGCACAUUAGCUAGUAGGUGAGGUAAAGGCUUACCUAGGCGACGAUGUGUAGCCGGUCUGAGAGGAUGAACGGCCACAAUGGAACUGAGACACGGUCCAUACUCCUACGGGAGGCAGCAGUGGGGAAUAUUGCACAAUGGGGGAAACCCUGAUGCAGCAACGCCGCGUGAGUGAAGAAGGUUUUCGGAUUGUAAAGCUCUGUUAGCAGGGAAGAGGAAGGACGGUACCUGCAGAGGAAGCCACGGCUAACUACGUGCCAGCAGCCGCGGUAAUACGUAGGUGGCAAGCGUUGUUCGGAAUGACUGGGCGUAAAGGAUGCGUAGGCGGUUAAACAAGUUAUAUGUUAAAUAUAUAGGCUUAACCUGUAGAAAGCAUAUAAAACUGUUUAACUAGAGUGCAGGAGAGGUAAGUGGAAUUCCUAGUGUAGCGGUGAAAUGCGUAGAGAUUAGGAAGAACACCAGUGGCGAAGGCGACUUACUGGACUGUAACUGACGCUGAGGCAUGAGAGCAUGGGGAGCANACAGGAUUNGAUACCCUGGUAGUCCAUGCU
rnacentral:rRNA from 1 species